CAGUCGCCGCGGGAAUACGAAGGGUGCAAGCGUUAAUCGGAAUUACUGGGCGUAAAGCGUGCGUAGGUGGUGGUUUAAGUCCGUUGUGAAAGCCCUGGGCUCAACCUGGGAAUUGCAGUGGAUACUGGGUCACUAGAGUGUGGUAGAGGAUAGUGGAAUUUCCGGUGUAGCAGUGAAAUGCGUAGAGAUCGGAAGGAACAUCUGUGGCGAAGGCGACUAUCUGGGCCAACACUGACACUGAGGCACGAAAGCGUGGGGAGCAAACAGGAUUAGAUACCCCGGUAGUCCCUGUCUCUUAUAC
rnacentral:rRNA from 1 species